rnacentral:rRNA from 1 species
UAAUACGGAGGGUGCAAGCGUUACUCGGAAUCACUGGGCGUAAAGCGCGCGCAGGCGGCCAUUUAAGUUGGAUGUGAAAGCCUACAGCUCAACUGUAGAACUGCAUCCAAAACUAUUUGGCUAGAGUGUGGGAGAGGAAGAUGGAAUUAGUUGUGUAGGGGUAAAAUCCGUAGAGAUAACUAGGAAUACCAAAAGCGAAGGCAAUCUUCUGGAACAUUACUGACGCUGAGGCGCGAAAGCGUGGGGAGCAAACAGGAUUAGAUACCCUGGUAGUCCACGCCGUAAACGAUGUCAACUAGCCGUUGGGAGCAUUUAAGCUUUUAGUGGCGCAGCUAACGCAUUAAACAUUCCGCCUGGGGAGUACGGUCGCAAGAUUA